rnacentral:misc_RNA from 1 species
GAUGAAGAACGCAGCGAAAUGCGAUACGUAAUGUGAAUUGCAGAAUUCAGUGAAUCAUCGAAUCUUUGAACGCAUAUUGCGCUCUCUGGUAUUCCGGAGAGCAUGCUUGUUUGAGUAUCAGUAAACACCUCAACUUCCAUAUCUUUUUUGAAAUGGGAGUUGGACUUGAGUGAUCCCAACGCUUUUCCUCACCGAAAAGUGGCGGGUUACUUGAAAUGCAGGUGCAGCUGGACUUUUCUCUGAGCUAUAAGCAUAUCUAUUUAGUCUGCCUAAAAAACAGAUUAUUACCUUUGCUGCAGCUAACAUAAAGGAGAUUAGUUCUUGUGCUGACUGAUGCAGGAUUCACAAAGACAGGCUUCGGCCGACUUUGUAAACUCGAUCUCAAAUCAAGUAAGACUACCCGCUGAACUUAAGCAUAUCAAUAAACGGAGGA